rnacentral:rRNA from 1 species
GAUGAACGCUGGCGGCGUGCCUAAUACAUGCAAGUCGAGCGAACAGACGAGGAGCUUGCUCCUCUGACGUUAGCGGCGGACGGGUGAGUAACACGUGGAUAACCUACCUAUAAGACUGGGAUAACUUCGGGAAACCGGAGCUAAUACCGGAUAAUAUAUUGAACCGCAUGGUUCAAUAGUGAAAGACGGUUUUGCUGUCACUUAUAGAUGGAUCCGCGCCGCAUUAGCUAGUUGGUAAGGUAACGGCUUACCAAGGCAACGAUGCGUAGCCGACCUGAGAGGAUGAUCAGCCACACUGGAACUGAGACACGGUCCAGACUCCUACGGGAGGCAGCAGUAGGGAAUCUUCCGCAAUGGGCGCAAGCCUGACGCAGCAACGCCGCGUGAGUGAUGAAGGUCUUCGGAUCGUAAAACUCUGUUAUUAGGGAAGAACAAAUGUGUAAGUAACUAUGCACGUCUUGACGGUACCUAAUCAGAAAGCCACGGCUAACUACGUG